GUUGACCUUACAGCAAAUCUUA
rnacentral:misc_RNA from 1 species